rnacentral:tRNA from 1 species
GGGCAUGUGGUUCAGUGGUAGAACGCUUUCCUGAUAAGAAAGAGGUCCCAAGUUCGAUUCUUGGCAUGCCCA